AUUGAACGCUGGCGGCAGGCUUAACACAUGCAAGUCGAGCGAGCGGCGGACGGGUGAGUAAUGUCUGGGAAACUGCCUGAUGGAGGGGGAUAACUACUGGAAACGGUGGCUAAUACCGCAUACUAUCGGAUGUGCCCAUAUGGGAUUAGCUAGUAGGUGGGGUAAAGGCUCACCUAGGCGACGAUCCCUAGCUGGUCUGAGAGGAUGACCAGCCACACUGGAACUGAGACACGGCCCAGACUCCUACGGGAGGCAGCAGUGGGGAAUAUUGCACAAUGGGCGAAAGCCUGAUACAGCCAUGCCGCGUGUGUGAAGAAGGCCUUAGGGUUGUAAAGCACUUUCAGCGAGGAGGCGUUACCCGCAGAAGAAGCACCGGCUAACUCCGUGCCAGCAGCCGCGGUAAUUC
rnacentral:rRNA from 1 species